rnacentral:rRNA from 1 species
UGGGGAAUUUUGGACAAUGGGCGAAAGCCUGAUCCAGCAAUGCCGCGUGUGUGAAGAAGGCCUUCGGGUUGUAAAGCACUUUUGUCCGGAAAGAAAUCCUUGGCUCUAAUACAGUCGGGGGAUGACGGUACCGGAAGAAUAAGCACCGGCUAACUACGUGCCAGCAGCCGCGGUAAUACGUAGGGUGCAAGCGUUAAUCGGAAUUACUGGGCGUAAAGCGUGCGCAGGCGGUUUGCUAAGACCGAUGUGAAAUCCCCGGGCUCAACCUGGGAACUGCAUUGGUGACUGGCAGGCUAGAGUAUGGCAGAGGGGGGUAGAAUUCCACGUGUAGCAGUGAAAUGCGUAGAGAUGUGGAGGAAUACCGAUGGCGAAGGCAGCCCCCUGGGCCAAAUACUGACGCUCAUGCACGAAAGCGUGGGGAGCAAAACAGGAUUAGAUACCCUGGUAGUCCACGCCCUAAAACGAUGUCAACUAGUUGUUGGGGAUUCAUUUCCUUAGUAACGUAGCUAACGCGUGAAGUUGACCGCCUGGGGAGUACGGUCGCAAGAUUAAAACUCAAAGGAAUUGACGGGGUCAUAGCUG